CCACUGCAGACGACCGAGUACCGCGAACACUUUGAACAGUCACCACCGUAGCACGAAAGUGUCGAUUGCAGGACCUUUGAUGCAGUACAUGUACUCGUAAUGGGGCGUAGCAGGCGGACUGGCUGUGACGCACCUUCGCAAUCUGGAGUGGAUACGGUGGCUGAAGUGGGACUCGACUUCGUGACCAAGGCAAACUCGUCUAUAUUCAUCCGGACUACUGGUCGCAACUUCUCAGUGUGAGAUUCUGGACUUGCAUGUUCAUGCAGCAGAGUUUCAGCCUUAUUCCAAGGUGCAUGUCCCUUCUUGAACUGUGUCUUUCGUCUUGUAUUGCCUUCCAUGGAUGUGACUCGUAGUGUAUAAAACAGUGAAAUACUUGUUGUGGUAUGCAUGUCCACCCUUAGAUAUAUAUAUCAGUUCAUGUGUGAUGUCACUUUCAGUUCUGAUACAUUAAAACAUUUCAAUGCA